rnacentral:tRNA from 1 species
GCCCGCCUAGCCCAACUGGCAGAGGCGUCCGCUUCAGCAGCGGAAGGUUCCGAGUUCAACUCUCGGGGUGGGCA